GCUUAGAUCUGGUAGCAAGUUUCAAGAGGCUGUGCAGCAGACUGCAGCCCACAGGAGUCCAUUCACAUGGAUCUCCAUACACAAGCAGUGGACUUCAGAUGUAAAUGAAGAGGAAUAACCAGGGAGGCUUCCUUCAAGGGACAGUAAAGUGCCAAGAGCUGCAUGAAGAGCACAGUGCAAAUGUUUUGAGAGUCUCCCACAAAAGGAUCUGUUGUUUUGGAUGACGUAGGAUCACAACUUUCAGCAUUACAACGCCAAAGUAGUCACCAAGCUGGACAGUGGAUUAGAUGACUGGG